rnacentral:lncRNA from 1 species
UUGGGAUGGUUCACAGCAUCUGCAAACCCUUGUGUCUCAAGGCACAGAGCUGCAUGCUGACCAUAAACAAAGCCACCCUUUCCCUUGACAUCCUUCAAAGAGUUGCUAGUGUAAAAUUGUACCCCUGGCUGGUUCGACCACAGCUCGAACGCCCUCCCCGAGCCACCAUCCUUCACGACCGCCACCUUCCUCAUCCCAUGAGCAUGCUGACCAUAAACAAAGCCACCCUUUCCCUUGACAUCCUUCAAAAAGUUGCUAGUGUAAAAUUGUACCCCUGGCUGGUUCGACCACAGCUCGAACGCCCUCCCCGAGCCACCAUCCUUCACGACCGCCACCUUCCUCAUCCCAUGACCGUCCAUCGGUGAAUCGAGAACAUAG